rnacentral:rRNA from 1 species
GGGGAAUUUUGGACAAUGGGGGCAACCCUGAUCCAGCAAUGCCGCGUGUGUGAAGAAGGCCUUCGGGUUGUAAAGCACUUUUGUCCGGGAAGAAAUCGCACCUGAUAAUACCGGGUGUGGAUGACGGUACCGGAAGAAUAAGGACCGGCUAACUACGUGCCAGCAGCCGCGGUAAUACGUAGGGUCCAAGCGUUAAUCGGAAUUACUGGGCGUAAAGCGUGCGCAGGCGGUUGUGCAAGACCGAUGUGAAAUCCCCGGGCUUAACCUGGGAAUUGCAUUGGUGACUGCACGGCUAGAGUGUGUCAGAGGGGGGUAGAAUUCCACGUGUAGCAGUGAAAUGCGUAGAGAUGUGGAGGAAUACCGAUGGCGAAGGCAGCCCCCUGGGAUAACACUGACGCUCAUGCACGAAAGCGUGGGGAGCAAACAGGAUUAGAUACCCUGGUAGUCCACGCCCUAAACGAUGUCAACUAGUUGUUGGGGAUUCAUUUCCUUAGUAACGUAGCUAACGCGUGAAGUUGACCGCCUGGGGAGUACGGUCGCCAAGAUUAAAACU